rnacentral:rRNA from 1 species
AUGAACGCUGGCGGCGUGCCUAAUACAUGCAAGUCGAGCGAACGGACGAGAAGCUUGCUUCUCUGAUGUUAGCGGCGGACGGGUGAGUAACACGUGGAUAACCUACCUAUAAGACUGGGAUAACUUCGGGAAACCGGAGCUAAUACCGGAUAAUAUUUUGAACCGCAUGGUUCAAAAGUGAAAGACGGUCUUGCUGUCACUUAUAGAUGGAUCCGCGCUGCAUUAGCUAGUUGGUAAGGUAACGGCUUACCAAGGCAACGAGGCAUAGCCGACCUGAGAGGGUGAUCGGCCACACUGGAACUGAGACACGGUCCAGACUCCUACGGGAGGCAGCAGUAGGGAAUCUUCCGCAAUGGGCGAAAGCCUGACGGAGCAACGCCGCGUGAGUGAUGAAGGUCUUCGGAUCGUAAAACUCUGUUAUUAGGGAAGAACAUAUGUGUAAGUAACUGUGCACAUCUUGACGGUACCUAAUCAGAAAGCCACGGCUAACUACGUG